GAUGAACGCUGGCGGCGUGCCUAAUACAUGCAAGUCGAGCGAACAGACGAGGAGCUUGCUCCUUUGACGUUAGCGGCGGACGGGUGAGUAACACGUGGGUAACCUACCUAUAAGACUGGGAUAACUUCGGGAAACCGGAGCUAAUACCGGAUAAUAUUUCGAACCGCAUGGUUCGAUAGUGAAAGAUGGCUUUGCUAUCACUUAUAGAUGGACCUGCGCCGUAUUAGCUAGUUGGUAAGGUAACGGCUUACCAAGGCAACGAUACGUAGCCGACCUGAGAGGGUGUUCGGCCACACUGGAACUGAGACACGGUCCAGACUCCUACGGGAGGCAGCAGUAGGGAAUCUUCCGCAAUGGGCGAAAGCCUGACGGAGCAACGCCGCGUGAGUGAUGAAGGUCUUCGGAUCGUAAAACUCUGUUAUUAGGGAAGAACAAACGUGUAAGUAACUGUGCACGCCUUGACGGUACCUAAUCAGAAAGCCACGGCUAACUACGUG
rnacentral:rRNA from 1 species